AUUAUGGCGUGUAGAGUCACCACCCUGACACAUAAACCCUGGAAUAAAUCUGUGAAAGCAGGAACCCUUAUAACCGAAUCCUUUCUCUCCAGUGCUCAGAGCAUGAAGAUUUUUUGCUGUCUUUGGAACUUUGUCUGCAAACAGCUCGAAGGAGAUGCAGCCCAAGGGCUUGCUGUCGGCGGUGAUGUCGAAGAACACGGUGGGGUUGACCAUGGCUGAUGGGAAAAGGUUCAAGGUGGCGGCGUCUGCAAAGCCCUCUUUUUCUUAAUAUGCUAUAAGGUCUGGUCUUUAAAGGAUCUGCAGCUUCCACCUCUGCCACUGAGGAUAUCUUCACUGGAAACCUGGUUGCCAUGCUGUGAGAAAUCCAAGUCACAUGGCAAGACCACAAAGAGAAAAACGGAGACACUCUGAUACACAGAACCAACUAUGCUCUCAGUUGAUAGCCUUCACUGAUUUCAGUCAAGUCCAGAAUAUCUUACUAUGUUUGUACCUUAAAAAUUUAAUGGAUCCCUAGCUUGGUCCUACAGAGGAUAUUGGCCACAUUUUGGGCAACCUGUCUUGACUUACAGCUGAAGGUGUGAGCUACCCCUAUACCCCAAGACAAGCAUAUGCUACAGAAGAAGAUUCAUGAUGUGUUUACUGACCAGGCUCA